GAUGAAGAACGCAGUGAAAUGCGAUAAGUAAUGUGAAUUGCAGAAUUCAGUGAAUCAUCGAGUUUUUGAACGCAUAUUGCGCCCUCUGGUAUUCCGGGGGGCAUGCCUGUUCGAGCGUCAUUAAAUAACCCUCAAGCAUAGCUUGGUGUUGGGCUUUUUUACGUCCUUGACUGGGAUGGGCCUAGAAAUUAGUGGCGAUGGCUUUUUUACUUUCAAGCGUAGUAAAUCUCGUCUUGCUAAAGAGGAAAAAGAUUUUUUUUCUGCCAAAAAUUUUAACAUUUAAAGUUGACCUCGGAUCAGGUAGGAUUACCCGCUGAACUUAAGCAUAUCAAUAAGCGGAGGA
rnacentral:misc_RNA from 1 species